UACCUACGGGAGGCAGCAGUAGGGAAUAUUGCUCAAUGGGGGAAACCCUGAAGCAGCAACGCCGCGUGGAGGAUGAAGGUUUUCGGAUUGUAAACUCCUUUUGUUAGAGAAGAUAAUGGCGGUAUCUAACGAAUAAGCACCGGCUAACUCCGUGCCAGCAGCCGCGGUAAUACGGAGGGUGCAAGCGUUACUCGGAAUCACUGGGCGUAAAGAGCGCGUAGGCGGGGUAACAAGUCAGAUGUGAAAUCCUAUGGCUUAACCCUAGAACUGCAUUUAAAACUGUUUUUCUAGAGUAUGGGAGAGGG
rnacentral:rRNA from 1 species